rnacentral:rRNA from 1 species
GCAUAUCAAUAAGCGGAGGAAAAGAAACUAACAAGGAUUCCCCUAGUAACUGCGAGUGAAGCGGGAAAAGCUCAAAUUUAAAAUCUGGCGGUCUUUGGCCGUCCGAGUUGUAGUCUGGAGAAGUGCUUUCCGCGCUGGACCGUGUAUAAGUCUCUUGGAACAGAGCGUCAUAGAGGGUGAGAAUCCCGUCUUUGACACGGACUACCAGUGCUUUGUGAUGCGCUCUCAAAGAGUCGAGUUGUUUGGGAAUGCAGCUCAAAAUGGGUGGUGAAUUCCAUCUAAAGCUAAAUAUUGGCGAGAGACCGAUAGCGAACAAGUACCGUGAGGGAAAGAUGAAAAGCACUUUGGAAAGAGAGUUAAACAGUACGUGAAAUUGCUGAAAGGGAAACGCUUGAAGUCAGUCGCGUUGUCCGGAACUCAGCCUUGCUUUCGCUUGGUGCACUUUCCGGAUGACGGGUCAGCAUCGAUUUUGACCGUCGGAAAAGGGCUGGAGUAAUGUGGCACCUCCGGGUGUGUUAUAGACUCUGGUCGCAUACGACGGUUGGGAUCGAGGAACGCAGCGCGCCGCAAGGCAGGGGUUCGCCCACUUUCGCGCUUAGGAUGCUGGCAUAAUGGCUUUAAACGACCCGUCUUGAAACACGGACCAAGGAGUCUAACAUACCUGCGAGUGUUUGGGUGGAAAACCCGAGCGCGUAAUGAAAGUGAAAGUUGAGAUCCCUGUCGUGGGGAGCAUCGACGCCCGGACCUGACGUUCUCUGACGGAUCCGCGGUAGAGCAUGUAUGUUGGGACCCGAAAGAUGGUGAACUAUGCCUGAAUAGGGUGAAGCCAGAGGAAACUCUGGUGGAGGCUCGUAGCGAUUCUGACGUGCAAAUCGAUCGUCAAAUUUGGGUAUAGGGGCGAAAGACUAAUCGAACCAUCUA